ACGAGCGCAACCCUUGUCGUUAGUUGCCAGCAUUUCGGAUGGGCACUCUAACGAGACAGCCGGUGAAAGCCGGAGGAAGGUGGGGAUGACGUCAAAUCAUCAUGCCCCUUAUGUCCUGGGCUACACACGUGCUACAAUGGCUGGUACAAAGGGCAGCGAACCCGCGAGGGGGAGCCAAUCCCAAAAAGCCAGUCUCAGUUCGGAUCGCAGGCUGCAACUCGCCUGCGUGAAGCCGGAAUCGCUAGUAAUCGCGGAUCAGCAUGCCGCGGUGAAUACGUUCCCGGGCCUUGUACACACCGCCCGU
rnacentral:rRNA from 1 species